GCGGGUAUAGUACAUCGGUAGUAUGCAAGCUUCCCAAGCUUGAGAGACGGGUUCGAUUCCCGUUACCCGCUCCA
rnacentral:tRNA from 1 species